AUUGAACGCUGGCGGCAUGCUUUACACAUGCAAGUCGAACGGUAACAGGCCGCAAGGUGCUGACGAGUGGCGAACGGGUGAGUAAUGCAUCGGAACGUGCCCAGUCGUGGGGGAUAACUAUCCGAAAGGAUAGCUAAUACCGCAUACGAUCUGCGGAUGAAAGCGGGGGACCUUCGGGCCUCGCGCGAUUGGAGCGGCCGAUGUCAGAUUAGGUAGUUGGUGGGGUAAAGGCUCACCAAGCCAACGAUCUGUAGCUGGUCUGAGAGGACGACCAGCCACACUGGGACUGAGAAACGGCCAAGACUCCUACGGGAGGCAGCAGUGGGGAAUUUUGGACAAUGGGCGCAAGCCUGACCCAGCAAUGCCGCGUGCAGGAAGAAGGCCUUCGGGUUGUAAACUGCUUUUGUACGGAACGAAACGGCUCUGGUUAAUACCUGGGGCUAAUGACGGUACCGUAAGAAUAAGCACCGGCUAACUACGUGCCAGCCGCCGCGGUAA
rnacentral:rRNA from 1 species